ACACUCCUGCGGGAGGCAGCAGUGGGGAAUUUUGGACAAUGGGCGAAAGCCUGAUCCAGCAAUGCCGCGUGAGUGAAGAAGGCCUUCGGGUUGUAAAGCUCUUUUGUCAGGGAAGAAACGGUGAGAGCUAAUAUCUUUUGCUAAUGACGGUACCUGAAGAAUAAGCACCGGCUAACUACGUGCCAGCAGCCGCGGUAAUACGUAGGGUGCAAGCGUUAAUCGGAAUUACUGGGCGUAAAGCGUGCGCAGGCGGUUUUGUAAGUCUGAUGUGAAAUCCCCGGGCUCAACCUGGGAAUUGCAUUGGAGACUGCAAGGCUAGAAUCUGGCAGAGGGGGGUAGAAUUCCACGUGUAGCAGUGAAAUGCGUAGAUAUGUGGAGGAACACCGAUGGCGAAGGCAGCCCCCUGGGUCAAGAUUGACGCUCAUGCACGAAAGCGUGGGGAGCAAACAGGAUUAGAUACCCUUGUAGUCCCAUG
rnacentral:rRNA from 1 species